rnacentral:rRNA from 1 species
GCAUAUCAAUAAGCGGAGGAAAAGAAAAUAACAAUGAUACCCUUAGUUAGCGGCGAAGCGAAGUGGGUAAAAGCUUCAAGUUUAAAACCUGUUUGUCCUAGACAAACCGGAUUGUAAACUAAGGACGUGCUAUCCAGGCUCUUUGGACCUUCAAGUCCUUUGGAAUAAGGCUUCACAGAGGGUGACAAUCCCGUAGAGGGUCUUGAAAGAGUCUAUUGCGAUGCAUGCUCCAAGAGUCAGGUUGUUUGGGAAUGCAGCCUAAAGUGGGAGGUAAAUCCCUCCUAAAGCUAAAUAUUGGCGAGAGACCGAUAGCAAACAAGUACCGUGAGGGAAAGUUGAAAAGGACUUUGAAAAGAGAGUCAAAAGUACGUGAAAUUGCUUAAAGGGAAGCGUUUGGAGCUAGUUUGGCUAGUCUGUUAUCAGCCUGAGCUUCGGCUUUGGUGUACUAUCAGGCUAUUUGCCGGCCAACUUUCAGGAUUGGAAGGAAAGCUUAGUGCUUUGGAGUCUAAAGAGACCUUUGCGGAAGCCUCUGGUGGAGCGUUGGUCUGCCUUGGCCCUUCUGAACCUAUAGUUGGCUUAAUGGCUCUAAACGGCCCGUCUUGAAACACGGACCAAGGAGUCCACCACUGUUGCGAGUGUUUGGGUGGCAAACCCAUACGCGAAAUGAAAGUGAAAGCUAUGAAAUCGCAAGAUGGCAAUAGCAUCCGGCCUUUAGGACUGAGAUAAAGCAAUAGUGAUGGGACCCGAAAGAUGGUGAACUAUGCUUGAGUAGAGUGAAGCCAGAAGAAAUUCUGGUGGAAGCUCGUAACGGUUCUGACGUGCAAAUCGAUUCGUCGAAACUUGAAGCAUAGGGGGCGAAAGACUAAUCGAACCAUCUAGUAGCUGGUUCCUGCCGAA